GCUGCUCAAAACUUCACAUACCUCUUCGUGGUGAGCAGCAGGCAACGAUUUGUUAUGAUCGGCUGAGAUGUGAAG
rnacentral:ribozyme from 1 species